UAGUCCACGCCGUAAACGAUGAUAACUAGCUGUCCGGACUCAUAGAGUCUGGGUGGCGCAGCUAACGCAUUAAGUUAUCCGCCUGGGGAGUACGGUCGCAAGAUUAAAACUCAAAGGAAUUGACGGGGACCUGCACAAGUAGUGGAGCAUGUGGUUUAAAUCGACAAUACGCGAGAAACCUUACCAGUUUUUGUAUAAUUUAUUACAGGAGUUGCAUGGCUGUCGUCAGUCCGUGCCGUGAGGCGUUUGGUUCAUUCCAACAAACGGACGAAACUCUUUUACAUUUAUCGUAAUGUAUACCGCUAAGGAUAUCUUAGAGGAAGGGAAGAAUGACGUCAAGUCCUUAUGACCCUAAUAAACUGGGCUACUUUCACGUGCUACAAUAAAAUUUUCAAUAAAAAAUAAGAAUGUAAGUUUGAAUUUUAAACAAAAUUUUUAUUACGGUAUUAUUCUCUGCAACUCGAGAAUAUGAAGGUGGAAUUACGAGUAAUCGUAAAUUAGAAUAUUACGUGAAUUAGUUCUCAGGUCUUGUACACACCGCCCGU
rnacentral:rRNA from 1 species